rnacentral:lncRNA from 1 species
UUUCACUUUCUGUCUCUCUCUCUAAACUUUCUCCUCCAAUUCUCUCUCGCUUCUCUCUAACAUCUCUCCUCUCCUCCUCCUCUCCUCCACCUUCUUCUCCUCUGUGCCGCCUCUUUUCCGUUGCCGGCAACAGUGCCGCCGCCUCUUCUGUCGCCGCCGUGCCUCCCUUCUUUUUUUUUCUUCUUUUCUUCUCUUCUUAUUUUCUUCUCUUCUUCUUUCUCUCUUCUUCACCCCCUUUCUGCCCCGAUUUCGACGUCCAGAGCGACGGCGGUCCCGACGCCGCUGCUGCCUCUCCCUCAACCGCGACAAAAAGGUAAACAGAAACGUAGAUCUACUUCCCUUACUUUUAUCCUUUCUAUUUCAG